rnacentral:rRNA from 1 species
AUUGAACGCUGGCGGCAGGCUUAACACAUGCAAGUCGAGCGGGGUGAUGGUGCUUGCACUAUCACUUAGCGGCGGACGGGUGAGUAAUGCUUAGGAAUCUGCCUAUUAGUGGGGGACAACAUCUCGAAAGGGAUGCUAAUACCGCAUACGUCCUACGGGAGAAAGCAGGGGAUCACUUGUGACCUUGCGCUAAUAGAUGAGCCUAAGUCGGAUUAGCUAGUUGGUGGGGUAAAGGCCUACCAAGGCGACGAUCUGUAGCGGGUCUGAGAGGAUGAUCGGCCACACGGGGACUGGGACACGGCCCAGACUCCUACGGGAGGCAGCAGUGGGGAAUAUUGGACAAUGGGGGGAACCCUGAUCCAGCCAUGCCGCGUGUGUGAAGAAGGCCUUAUGGUUGUAAAGCACUUUAAGCGAGGAGGAGGCUCUUUUGGUUAAUACCCAAGAUGAGUGGACGUUACCCGCAGAAGAAGCACCGGCUAACUCCGUGCCAGCCGCCGCAGUAA